rnacentral:snRNA from 1 species
GUGCUCUCUUUGGCAGCACAUAUACUAAAAUUGGAAUGAUACAGAGAAGAUCAGCAUGGACCCUGCACAAGGAUGACACGCAAAUUCAUGAAGCAUUCCAUAUCAAG